GAUGAACGCUGGCGGCGUGCCUAACACAUGCAAGUCGAGCGAUUCUCUUCGGAGAAGAGCGGCGGACGGGUGAGUAACGCGUGGGUAACCUGCCCUGUACACACGGAUAACAUACCGAAAGGUAUGCUAAUACGAGAUAAUAUACUUUUAUCGCAUGGUAGAAGUAUCAAAGCUCCGGCGGUACAGGAUGGACCCGCGUCUGAUUAGCUAGUUGGUAAGGUAACGGCUUACCAAGGCGACGAUCAGUAGCCGACCUGAGAGGGUGAUCGGCCACAUUGGAACUGAGACACGGUCCAAACUCCUACGGGAGGCAGCAGUGGGGAAUAUUGCACAAUGGGCGAAAGCCUGAUGCAGCAACGCCGCGUGAGCGAUGAAGGCCUUCGGUCGUAAAGCUCUGUCCUCAAGGAAGAGUAAUGACGGUACUUGAGGAGGAAGCCCCGGCUAACUACGUGCCAGCAGCCGCGGUAAU
rnacentral:rRNA from 1 species